UAGAGACUGCAGAAGUUCCUCAUUUGAUCUCCACAACUGAGAGGAAACCUGGUGAUAAUGUUACCUUUUCCUGUCAAUCGCCUGCCGAUCACAGAUUCAGUCAGUGGUAUAAACAGUCUCCUGGAAAGAUGAUCCAAACAAUGGCUACAGGAGUUUAUGGAAAAAUGACAGAAACUAAGACAUUCAAUGAUUCUCGUUUCCAAUUUCGGAGAGGAAACAAUGAGAUGUCUCUUACUAUACAUUCUGUUAAAAAAGAAGAUGAAGCUGUAUACUUCUGCCAAAGUGGAACUGAAUUUUUACUAACUGUUCAUGAUGGAUUCCUCUUGGUUGUAAAGGACUGUGAUCAACACUCUUCUGUCUAUGUGGAACAAACUCCAGACGCUGCGGCGGUCCAGCCAGGAGACACCACCAGUCUCCAGUGUGCCCUUUUUUCAACGAACAGUGAAACAAGACCUCAGUGUCCAGGAGAAAACUUUGUUCACUGGUUCAAAUCUGGAUCUGGAAGCUCUUAUCCAAGUAUCAUUUACGCUGCAAGGAAUAGCACAGACGAUGCAGCGAAGAGAAGCUGUGUCUACCACCUCUCAAAAACAGUAGAGAACUCCUCUGAUUUUGGAACUUACUACUGUGCUGUGGCCAUCUGUGGAGAAAUACUCCUAGGUGGUGGAAGCAAACUGGAAACCAAACAGAACAAGACUCAAGCGUUCUUGUGCUUGGAGGACUGUUGGGGUGCUGCGUGAUUGUGAUCAUCAGCCUUAUCUUCUACAUAACUGGAAGGAGAGUUUCCGACAGUUCUGAAGGAAUAAGAGGAUCACAUCAUGCUGAAGAUGAAACUUCGACUACUUAUCAAACAAAGAACUUGGAUAAAAAAGAGAACAUGACCUACGCAGAGGCACUGAAUUUCCCUGCAGCAAAUGUGAGAAACUGCAAGAAAGUGACCACAGAAUGUACGUAUUCUUCAGUCAAAGCAAAUUCAAAAAAACAGCAGCAGCUCUGAUUAGAGCCGCAGUAUUUGCACCAGACUCCAAAAAACAGGACUAAGAUUAGUCAAACAAAAAAUGUUUGACUCGAUUUCUCUCUGAGUGCAAGAUUUUUCAUGUCUGUUCAUGUCGACUUCCUACUUUCUGGAUACAUUCUUGUAUUUAAGACCUUCAGCUCAUUGAAAACAAAUAAUUUUUGGUAUUAAAAAGUCAUCACUUGGUGUUAAUAAAGUACAGUAUGUCUUUGAAAAAGAAUAGUUUUUCAGUAAAUGUCUGGGAAACUCGUGGUCUUUAAAAAUAAUAAACAUGUCGAAAGUUCUGA